rnacentral:lncRNA from 1 species
GAUAAUAUGAAGGAAACCAACCGAAUGUUGGUGCAACCAUCGGUGCCUCUGGUUAGACUAGAGCCGAUGAUGAACUUGUCUUAGACUAGAGCCGAUGAUGAACCUGUCUCAGGACAUUCUCCCGACCUAAGAUUCUGGUGCGGUCGUCGUGGCUUCUUUUUACGUUGUUGCCUAUUCCUCACCUCCUCCAACUGGUGUCUA